GCCCCCUUAGCUCAGUUGGAUAGAGCAACUGCCUUCUAAGCAGUAGGUCGCGCGUUCGAACCGCACAGGGGGUA
rnacentral:tRNA from 1 species